rnacentral:rRNA from 1 species
CCCUUAGAUGUCCUGGGCCGCACGCGCGCUACACUGAUGCAUUCAACGAGUUUUACCUUGGCCGAGAGGCCUGGGCAAUCUUUUAAACCUGCAUCGUGAUAGGGAUAGAUUAUUGCAAUUAUUAAUCUUGAACGAGGAAUUCCUAGUAAACGCAAAUCAUCAAUUUGCAUUGAUUACGUCCCUGCCCUUUGUGCACACCGUCCGUCGCACCUACCGAUUGAAUGGUCCGGUGAAGCCUCGGGAUUGUGGCCAGUUCACUUUAUUGGGAGUUGGCUGUGAGAACUUGUCUAAACCUUAUCAUUUAGAGGAAGGUGAAGUCGUAACA